ACUUUAAAUCUGUCUGAAAUAAUCCCAAUGCUCACAGAUUAAACACCACAAUCUGACAGAAUUCUUCUGUUAAAAACAGUGACUCAUACAAGUUCUCCUCUCCUUCUCCAGUUCGCCUGGCCGAGGUCAAUAAAUCAGGUGAGGAAGAGGAAAGGCCGCGCCCUCGGAGCCUGACGGAGCAGACGACUCCAUCUGGAUCAUAAUCGGCCUGCUGUUCACCGAGGACUGCGGGAACUCGCAUUAAUACGAUGACGCGGCGCUUUAUCUCUCGCAGAUCUGAGUCCUGGUGGGAUUUUCUGCUCCGACGGCUCCAGAUUUGAUUCCACCGACUCACUGGAACUGAAAAUUCGCAAAGUCAUGCUCAUAAAUCUGAAUCCCAUUUACUGAGCGCUGGUGUUGGUUCUACGGCAGCGAAGGCCAAACUUCUUUUCAACGAUUUAUAUUUCCACCUAAACGUCUUCUCCCAGAUUCCACGCCUGUCUGAUUCCACCACCUUUGUUUACCUGCACAGACGACAGCCGGUCCGGUGCGGGCCAAUCACGUGGCUCGGCUCAAACGAGUGCUCGGGAUCACCUGGUUUGUGAUGGAUUUUCAUCCUUUGAGAUGAGUAGCUUUAAGGACGGGCUUUGACCUGUGCUGCUACUCGUCUGAUAAAUGAUGUAAGAGGUCCUGAUCUCAUCACCGAUACAUAAAAAACCCACAGAGGCUCACAUUUCAUCAGUGACAGCAGAACAACCUGUCUGCUCUCGGUUCAACACCACCACAUUUAAUCUGGGCUCCGUCAAGCCUUUCACCGCCCACGGACAUUAUUUACCAGCUGCUGUUUUAAACAAGGUAAUUGUGAUUUUGAUCCUUCAUUGUUAACAUUUCGAGUGUCUCUAUUGCAGUUAAUAUCGUCCCCCUGCUGUGGAAAAUGGGCAAAACUUAAACACUCUUAGUGAAAUUAAGUGGUGUGUGUGCGCGCGUGUGAACGACAACAAUCAGGUUUCCCUCAGAGAAAUGGAGGUCACCUCUGAGUCUUCUGGACAAAGUUCUCCAACCCAAAUGUUCUGGGUUGUUGAAGACUCUAAAAGGCAGCAAGUUACAUUUAUGUCCCAAUCAGUGGUGACAAGCAGAUGGCCCACCGCUGAUCUAUUAUAGCUCUGCAGCUCUUAGUGCUGUCAGCCCGUCUCCAGUUAGCUGCGAUGAAGAGGAAAUAUGGGCCAUCACUGAUCCUGCAGCUCUGGAGCAGCCUGAUGUAAAUUCCUCAUGUAUGAAUGACUCGUGUAGAUCGCGUCUUUAUGGCCGCUCGUAUCGACAGGACGGGACUUAUGGAGCAAUCUCCUCAUUUAAAGAAGUCGUUGCUUAAGAUGAGAGGAACGGGCAGCAGUGUAAACACCUGAUGAAGAGGACAGCUCCACCUAUUCAUGCUGGUUCUGCUCAACACAACAGAACAUUUACAACAAUUAAAGACGUGCUGCCGGUGUGAGAAGGAGAAACCAGGGAUUUUGGACCAGCCGAUGUGAAAUUACUGAAUCACUUGUUAAAGAAAAGCAUUUAUUACUUGUAGGAGAGCAACAGUACGAUCAUUUCUAAACCAUCUGGGUUCGAGUACAGGUAACCAGACCAAGGACAGGAAGUGAAAACAGGAAGGGGUGAACAUUUUGUUUA